rnacentral:rRNA from 1 species
UACGUAGGGUGCAAGCGUUAAUCGGAAUUACUGGGCGUAAAGCGUGCGCAGGCGGUUGUGCAAGACAGAUGUGAAAUCCCCGGGCUCAACCUGGGAACUGCAUUUGUGACUGCACAGCUUGAGUGCGGCAGAGGGGGAUGGAAUUCCGCGUGUAGCAGUGAAAUGCGUAGAUAUGCGGAGGAACACCGAUGGCGAAGGCAAUCCCCUGGGCCUGUACUGACGCUCAUGCACGAAAGCGUGGGGAGCAAACAGG